rnacentral:lncRNA from 1 species
AGCCAAUUUCUAUAUAUAAUGUAGCUACUUUUAUAUCUUUGUCAGUGAAAAAUAUUGCUUUGUUCUUUCCUGAUCCUAUUUUGUUAGCAUGCUAUUUUAUAUUUUUGGGCCUACCUUAAGAAACAUAACAUUAGUGAUGUCUUAAGCAUAUGAUGGUUUGAAUGGUUAUUAUUCACUAUGGGUGCAUGGCUAUUCUUGGGUUUGAGCCUUAGGCAUGCAACAAUGAGAUCUAAUUGCAUUGUUUGUUAACUAUUUAAACCAAAAUCAUUCAUCAAUCUUGAUCGGAAAUCUUAUCCCAAUACUUUUGAUACUGUGCUUCGAUUUUGAUAACAAAAUUUGUUUCAACUUGCCAUGUGGAAAAUCAAGUAAGAGCAUAUCCAUGUUUACUUAUUAGUUUGUUUUCUAAGAAUGGUGCGAGAUUUACAAAUUGAAAAAGUAAUUAUUGUUUGAAAAUCAUUUUUAACAAAAAAACAUUUGAAAAAUUUGUUAUGAUAUGGUUGUUUGACUGAUUGCGAUGUUGUUUUAGUGGUAGUUUUUUUCAACUGUCUAAGCAUAUAUCUAUUUUUUGUACACCAGGUGCAACGCACGGGACUUUUUGCUAGUCUCUCCCUAAUAAUAAAGCACGGAUUGGGUCUCCGGGUUCACCGUCACAAUACGCUUCUUCCCGUAAGUUUACGCUUUCACUUUGAAUUUAAAACAUAUACGCGAGGUGGUACUAAAAAACCGUUUCGUUGGCCGGUGACAAUUGUUUCCAAACCAAGUAAUGUGCAUGCGUACAACGACGUAUACAACUUGGACUGCGUACGAGAAUAAAAAUCUGCCUCCUGAUCACAUCGUGUAACAUGAGAACAAAUCGAAUCGAAAUAACUGUUGGGUAUCGGCUGCAUCAACGAGGGCAACGCGGAACAACUCCUGCUGUUGGGCGCCUGGGCCUCACGUGUCUCGGCGCCGACAGGGGAUGCAUCCUCCAGGCCGUCGAUCUCAGGCUGCCUGCUGGUAAUUCCAGACACUGCUGGCCAACACCAGACGCAAGGAGCGGCAAUGGCCGCCACUGAGCCCGGUGGUGGUUAUCAGUAGAACGAGGACGACGGAAGCCAGGCGCGGCAUCGCUGGUCCGUGCAAAGACGAUGGCGCCCAUUGGAGGGCCUUGAUCCGCCGCCCAAUCGAGCUAGCAUCGACCCCUCUUCUCCUCCACAUCUCUAGCUUGUGCUCCUUGGUGCUGCCGUUCCCGCGUAUGAGGUGGCCCGGCUUCCGGCGUUUGCCUAGGUGUUUGCCUGGCGUUCUCCUUUUCCCCUCUCUUUGUAUAACGGUGGCGUCAGACGGAGGUGCUGGCGGUGUCUGGAGCUAGGGAGACGUUAGCAGAAGGAGCGUGUGCACCUCCUGGAUGGCAGGAGCCCCUGUCCAUGCUCGGUCCUCCUCCGCUGGAACGGAAUGCGACCUCCCAAGAGAAGCGGGUCAGGCGCACCGUCUUAGGGCGAGAAGAUCUUCUUAUCUACAAUGGCGAUGCAUGAACCGACGAUGAACUGAAGCUGCGACCCAUGGGCUGGCCCUGCCUGCGUGCGUCCGCCAGAACCAGAAACAGACCAGAAAAGGGGAGCAACUAAGGCAUCCGGCUGCCUGAAACUUGCUCAGGGGGCAGCCUAUGGGCACGGCGUACAAGCUCUCUACUCUCUGUCAUCUUAUAUCUCUGAAUUUUCUUUUGCUGCAUGUGCAGGUGUAUGACAGGAACAAUAACUAGCAUGAACCUGGAGGAGUAAGAAGCAGCGACAUCUGGGUUUGCAAUGGCCAAAGAACUCAACAAUUCAUAGUUGGGUCACUUAUUUCUCCCCGGCUCGG